rnacentral:rRNA from 1 species
UACGUAGGGGGCAAGCGUUGUCCGGAUUUAUUGGGCGUAAAGAGCGUGUAGGCGGCUAGGUAGGUGGGUUGUGAAAACUGGAGGCUCAACCUUCAGACGUCGACCCAAACCCCCUGGCUAGAGUCCGGAAGAGGAGAGUGGAAUUCCCGGUGUAGCGGUGAAAUGCGUAGAGAUUGGGAAGAACACCGGUGGCGAAAGCGCUCUACUGGACUGCAACUGACACUCAGGGACGAAAGCUAGGGGAGCGAAUGGG